UACAGAGGUCUCGAGCGUUAGGCGGAAUUACUGGGCGUAAAGCGCGUGUAGGCGGUCUGGCAAGUCAGAUGUGAAAGCCCCGGGCUCAACUUGGGAACUGCAUUUGAUACUGCCAAGCUAGAGUACAGAAGAGGUGACUGGAAUUCCCAGUGUAGCGGUGAAAUGCGUAGAUAUUGGGAGGAACACCAGAUGCGAAGGCGGGUCACUGGGCUGAUACUGACGCUAAAGCGCGAAAGCCAGGGGAGCGAACGGG
rnacentral:rRNA from 1 species